CCUACGGGUGGCAGCAGUGAGGAAUAUUGGUCAAUGGACGCAAGUCUGAACCAGCCAUGCCGCGUGCAGGACGACGGCUCUAUGAGUUGUAAACUGCUUUUGUACGAGGGUAAACGCAGAUACGCGUAUCUGUCUGAAAGUAUCGUACGAAUAAGGAUCGGCUAACUCCGUGCCAGCAGCCGCGGUAAUACGGAGGAUUCAAGCGUUAUCCGGAUUUAUUGGGUUUAAGGGGUGCGUAGGCGGUCGGAUAAGUUAGUGGUGAAAUCCCGAGGCUCAACGUCGGAAUUGCCUCUGAUACUGUUGGGCUAGAGAGCAGAUGCGGUAGGAGGAAUGUAGGGUGUAGCGGUGAAAUGCAUAGAGAUCAUACAGAACACCGAUUGCGAAGGCAGCUUACCAAGCUACGUCUGACGUUGAGGCACGAAAGCGUGGGUAGCAAACAGGAUUAGAUACCCUAGUAGUC
rnacentral:rRNA from 1 species